rnacentral:rRNA from 1 species
GACGAACGCUGGCGGCGUGCUCAACACAUGCAAGUCGAGCGGUAAGGCCCUUUCGGGGGUACACGAGCGGCGAACGGGUGAGUAACACGUGGGUGACCUGCCCUCAGCUCUGGGAUAAGCCUGGGAAACCGGGUCUAAUACUGGAUAUGACUCCAUGACGCAUGUUGUGGGGUGGAAAGCCUUGUGCGGCUGAGGAUGGGCCCGCGGCCUAUCAGCUUGUUGGUGGGGUGAUGGCCUACCAAGGCGACGACGGGUAGCCGGCCUGAGAGGGCGACCGGCCACACUGGGACUGAGACACGGCCCAGACUCCUACGGGAGGGCAGCAGUGGGGAAUCUUGCGCAAUGGGUGAAAGCCUGACGCAGCGACGCCGCGUGAGGGAUGACGGCCU